AUAAAUAUAGAGGAUGACACUCACUAACUAGAAAGUUGCAAAAGCUGGAGUUGAUGGAAAAUGUCAUGUAAUUCCAUAGUAUGGGAUUCAUGUGCAGCUGGGCCAAAACACUUACCGAGCAGACUUCUCCAAGAUGAGUCUACCAGUUGUGUUCAUCUGAACAGUUGCUGGCUUCUGGCUGCCUUGGACAGGCUUUUCAACUCUUCUCUGAAGAAGUGAAAGAAUGGAAGAUUUGGGGGAUCUGAAGCAGAUGAAGCAGACAUCAGUCAAAGCCAGCUGCAGAAUAUUCAUAUGAAGGAAGAUUUAGGGAUUCUGGUCUCUGCUACCAAGACUAUUUCUGCCUUUCUUCCAAUGACUGUAUAAUAGAAUAAACAACCAUUUAAGGGAGCAGAAUCCAAAACUCCACUUUUGUUCCUCCCUGUUCUUGUAGGGAAAUUCUAAGAUAAA